rnacentral:rRNA from 1 species
AAGGGCACCACAAGAACGCGUGGAGCAUGUGGCUUAAUUUGACUCAACGCGGGAAAUCUUACCGGGUCCGGACACACUGAGGAUUGACAGGCAAUAUUAAUAUAUACUUUCUCUCUCGCACUCUCACGAGUGUGUGUGCUGUAAAGUCAUAUAUUAUGUUAAAUAUGCUAGUCCUUUCAUGAUUAUGUGAUAGGUGGUGCAUGGCCGUUCUUAGUUCGUGGAGUGAUCUGUCUGCCUAAUUGCGUUUCACUAAGGGCCUAUACAAUUACGUAUGUUGUUAUUGCACUUUGACCCCUCCUUCGCGGGUGCGUGUGUCUUUGACUGCUUCAACUCAUACAAUUAGGUCCUGAAAGCAACGAACGUGACCGCAACCUCUUGUUGCUUUCGUAUACCCUUAUAACACAGUUAUAUUUUUAUUUUAUGCUUUACCGCAUAUAUACUAAUUUGCUGUGCAAGAAAGCUUUUUAAACUAGAGGGACCGCUGUUAUCUUCUUAAACCAGAGGAAGGUUGCGGCAAUAACAGGUCUGUGAUGCCCUUAGAUGUUCCGGGCUGCACACGUGCUACAAUGAUUAUUGCAGUGAGCAUCUCAUUUAUUAUACACCGCAUGCGCGAGUCCAUUUAUUCAUUUUACCUUCGGGUUAUGCUUUAAAUGUGUAUCUCUGCGCGCGGUAAAGCCUGCUUCGAAAGUAAGUGGGUAAUCAAUUAGAAGUAAUGAUUUCCUUUUUUUUCUGCACACAUAUAUACGGCAGCUAUACCCGGGUAACCUUGUUGUUACUUUUGUGCGUAUAGUUGUACCCUUUUUCCGUAUGUGCGAUUGUCAAUUCAUGGUGGGGACAGACCAUUGUUAAUUGUUGGUCUCGGUCUUAACUAGGAAUGCCUUGUACGGGUCUUUGGUUCAACAAACCACCCGGAAUACGUCCCUGCCCUUUGUACACACCGCCCGUCGCUCUUACCGAUGGACUUCUCUGUGAGUUUGAGGGACUGGGAACGCAUUGCGUAUAUCUUAUGCGCUCUGCACACCUAUGGAAACUUAAACGAACAGUGUGGUCUAAAGGAAAGAGAAGUCGUAACAAGGCAUCAGUAGGUGAACCUGCAGAAGGAUCA